GACGAACGCUGGCGGCGUGCCUAAUACAUGCAAGUAGAACGCUGAAGGAGGAGCUUGCUUCUCUGGAUGAGUUGCGAACGGGUGAGUAACGCGUAGGUAACCUGCCUGGUAGCGGGGGAUAACUAUUGGAAACGAUAGCUAAUACCGCAUAAGAUUGACUAUUGCAUGAUAGUCAGUUAAAAGGUGCAAUUGCAUCACUACCAGAUGGACCUGCGUUGUAUUAGCUAGUUGGUGGGGUAACGGCUCACCAAGGCGACGAUACAUAGCCGACCUGAGAGGGUGAUCGGCCACACUGGGACUGAGACACGGCCCAGACUCCUACGGGAGGCAGCAGUAGGGAAUCUUCGGCAAUGGACGGAAGUCUGACCGAGCAACGCCGCGUGAGUGAAGAAGGGUGUCGGAUCGUAAAGCUCUGUUGUAAGAGAAGAACGAGUGUGAGAGUGGAAAGUUCACACUGUGACGGUAUCUUACCAGAAAGGGACGGCUAACUACGUG
rnacentral:rRNA from 1 species